rnacentral:tRNA from 1 species
AGUGGUGCCAUGGUUAAAGCAUUCGGCUGCUAACUGAAAGGUCGGUGGUUCAAACCCACCAGCCGCUU